UACGAAGGGGGCUAGCGUUGCUCGGAAUCACUGGGCGUAAAGGGUGCGUAGGCGGGUCUUUAAGUCAGGGGUGAAAUCCUGGAGCUCAACUCCAGAACUGCCUUUGAUACUGAAGAUCUUGAGUUCGGGAGAGGUGAGUGGAACUGCGAGUGUAGAGGUGAAAUUCGUAGAUAUUCGCAAGAACACCAGUGGCGAAGGCGGCU
rnacentral:rRNA from 1 species